GUGAAUCAUCGAAUUUUUGAACGCAAAUUGCACUCUCUUCGGUGCGUAUGCCUGUUUGAGGUUCAGCCUAAAAAAAAAUCGACAUAGUCGCUGUUUUUCGGUGAUAUUCGUCGGCCAUUACGUCAUCUUAUACCUUUGGGUUUUAAGCUUCGUAAAAUGUCCUUUACUAUAAUACGAACGUUUCUACGAUUUACUUCUUAUAUGUUUUAGGUAUCGAUAUUUAUUAGACUUGGC
rnacentral:misc_RNA from 1 species